AGAGCAUCGCGUUGCUGUGGCAACACAACCCACUUCCCCUGGGACCGCGUUGCCUCGGCGACAUCAGGCGGGCAACGCCGGCGGGUUAAAUCGACUCAGAGCAGCUGCCCCCUGAAAAACAGGACAGCCCUGGCCUCGGGGAGCAUGGGAGCCCAGAGGUUCAUCUCACCAGAGCCUGGGAAUGUAGAACAGCCAUGUGACUAAUGUGAUUAUCAGCUCUGUCAGAAAGAAAAAUUAGACACGAAAAUCAAGAUGAGCAUCUUCCAUGGACACCUCACUUCAAGAUCUUACCAUUAUUCCAAGCAAAGCUUUAGCAGACCUUCUCCACCUGCCCCUGUACUCGGAAUGGGAGCGUGGAAUGAAGCAAGGGGAGAGAUCAGCACAGACCAGUCUUUAGGAAGGGAAGGGCUGGACUCUCAAACCAGCAGGCAGCUCUGGCAUCCCUGGAUGUGUUCACACUGCUCUUCCCAGGUCCCAGGGAGGUUAGGAGCUCAGCAGGAUGCCUUUGACAGAGCAGCUGGAAUGGGCAGCUUUAAGCAUCAGUGUCCGGAAUUGCAAGAAAGAAGAGGCACAUCUGUCCUCCCAAGAGGUGUCAGUAUUUCUGAAACAUGUAAGUAAAACAGAAGGAAAAAAAUCCAGCUUUAUAACACCUCUUAAAGCUGAAAGUUGCUUCUAGGUAUCAUAGUCUCAGCAUCAAUAAGGGGCCAAAGCAGCCCCCAGAGCAGUACAGGGUAGUGUUUGAUGGUGAGGCAGCAC
rnacentral:lncRNA from 1 species